rnacentral:rRNA from 1 species
UACGUAGGGGGCAAGCGUUGUCCGGAAUCAUUGGGCGUAAAGAGCGUGUAGGCGGUCCGAUAAGUCCGCUCUGAAAGCCCGGGGCUCAACCCCGGGAGGCGGGCGGAUACUGUCGGGCUAGAGUCCGGAAGAGGCAAGUGGAAUUCCUGGUGUAGCGGUGGAAUGCGCAGAUAUCAGGAGGAACACCAAUAGCGAAGGCAGCUCGCUGGGACGUAACUGACACUGAGGCGCGAAAGCGUGGGGAGCGAACAGG